UUAGUGUGACAGUGGAUUGACAGUGACAGUGGGAGAGAGUGGGGGACGACAUUCAGCAAAGAGCUGCAGGUCAGAUUCCAACCCGGACCGCUGCAAAGGACUCAGCCCACACGGGGCGCACG